UGAAGUACCUUGCCCAGAGCACACAGUCUU
rnacentral:piRNA from 1 species